rnacentral:rRNA from 1 species
GACGAACGCUGGCGGCGUGCCUAAUACAUGCAAGUAGAACGCACAGUUUAUACCGUAGCUUGCUACACCAUAGACUGUGAGUUGCGAACGGGUGAGUAACGCGUAGGUAACCUGCCUGGUAGCGGGGGAUAACUAUUGGAAACGAUAGCUAAUACCGCAUAAUAUUGAUUAUUGCAUGAUAAUUGAUUGAAAGAUGCUAUUGCAUCACUACCAGAUGGACCUGCGUUGUAUUAGCUAGUAGGUGAGGUAACGGCUCACCUAGGCGACGAUACAUAGCCGACCUGAGAGGGUGAUCGGCCACCCUGGGACUGAGACACGGCCCAGACUCCUACGGGAGGCAGCAGUAGGGAAUCUUCGGCAAUGGACGCAAGUCUGACCGAGCAACGCCGCGUGAGUGAAGAAGGUUUUCGGAUCGUAAAGCUCUGUUGUAAGAGAAGAACGGGUGUGAGAGUGGAAAGUUCACACUGUGACGGUAUCUUACCAGAAAGGGACGGCUAACUACGUG